UACGUAGGGUGCGAGCGUUGUUCGGAAUUACUGGGCGUAAAGCGUGUGUAGGCGGUGAGGUAAGUCGGAUGUGAAAGCCCAGGGCUCAACCCUGGAAGUGCACUCGAUACUGCUUCGCUUGAGUACUGGAGAGGUCGGGUGGAAUUCUCGGUGUAGAGGUGGAAAUUCGUAGAUAUCGAGAGGAACAUCUGUGGCGAAGGCGGCCGACUGGACAG
rnacentral:rRNA from 1 species